rnacentral:rRNA from 1 species
CCUACGGGGUGCAGCAGUGAGGAAUAUUGGUCAAUGGGCGAGAGCCUGAACCAGCCAAGUCGCGUGAAGGAUGACGGCCCUACGGGUUGUAAACUUCUUUUGUCAGGGAGCAAUUGAGUCCACGUGUGGGCUUAGCGAGAGUACCUGAAGAAAAAGCAUCGGCUAACUCCGUGCCAGCAGCCGCGGUAAUACGGAAGGUCCGGGCGUUAUCCGGAUUUAUUGGGUUUAAAGGGAGCGUAGGCCGCAUGUCAAGCGUGCUGUGAAAUGUCCGGGCUCAACCCGGGCCUUGCAGCGCGAACUGGCGUGCUUGAGUCCGCGGAAAGCAGGCGGAAUUCGUCGUGUAGCGGUGAAAUGCUUAGAUAUGACGAAGAACACCGAUUGCGAAGGCAGCUUACCAAGCUACUUCUGACGUUGAGGCACGAAAGCGUGGGGAGCAAACAGGAUUAGAUACCCCUGUAGUC